rnacentral:rRNA from 1 species
GGGCCCGCACAAGCGGUGGAGCAUGUGGUUUAAUUCGAUGAUACGCGAGGAACCUUACCAGGGCUUAAAUGUAAGUUGCAUAGAUCAGAGAUGGUCUUUUCUUCGGACUACUUACAAGGUGCUGCAUGGUUGUCGUCAGCUCGUGCCGUGAGGUGUCAGGUUAAGUCCUAUAACGAGCGCAACCCCUGUCGUUAGUUACCAGCAAGUAAUGUUGGGUACUCUAGCGAGACUGCCGGUGCAAACCGUGAGGAAGGUGGGGAUGACGUCAAAUCAUCACGGCCCUUACGUCCUGGGCUACACACGUGCUACAAUGGCCGGUACAGAGAGCAGCCACUACGCGAGUAGGAGCGAAUCUUCAAAGCCGGUCUCAGUUCGGAUCGCAGUCUGCAACUCGACUGCGUG